rnacentral:lncRNA from 7 species
ACAAAGAGCUGCUGUGUUCUAAGCAUCUCGCACGCACAACCCCAGGAAGAUUUAGUGUGAUUAAUUCAGAGACUCCAAAGCAGUCACUGAAGAGCUCUAUGCACAAGAUAAAAAAGUAGGCUGCCCCAAACCACACUGGGCUCAGAGCGGUCUACAUCUGACAGCUGGGCUUCACUGAGUUGUAGGCUCCCAGCUGGGACAGGGUGAACUUUGAGAGGCCGAACAUCCAGGGAGCAGAGAUCACAUCCCUCCCCGAAGGACCGGAGGAAGCCUUCUGCAGGCCUUGGGGUGCAGCUGCAAGCAGUUGGUGUCCUGCACGUGCCACCUCUGCUGCUCCCCUUGAGAGAAGAUGAAGGUGCUGCUGGACCUGGCUCUGGUGCUGACAUUGCUGGGAGGAGCAGCAGCUUGGCUGGAUGGGUGUUCACAGAGCCCUGGCUCCAUGCUAGCGCUGGGGACUCCGUCCUGCUGCGCUGCCUCUUCCAAGACCCAGAGGCCACGGGCUGGACGGUGACCAAAGUGGACUGGCUGCGUGUGCCGGGGGCUGGCAAACAGAAGGAGGAGAUGGUAUUUUAUUACUACAGCAACUCUAGUGUCCCCGUGGGCCAUUUCCGAGACCGGGUGCGGUGGCAGGGAGAUGUCUCGUGCUGGGAUGGCUCUAUCCAGCUGCAGGAUGUGCAGGUGAACGACAGUGGCAGGUACACGUGUGAGAUCCGUCUGUUUCAGCACGGCAGCAUCUUCAAGAACCACACGAUGCUGCGCGUCAGCCCUGCGACACCGACAGAUAGAGGAGCAGAAAGUGCCCAAGUCCUGGGGCGUACCGGAGUUUGGGCUGUGACCGUGUGCUGCAGCGCUGUGGCUGUGGUGCUGGCUUUCCUGGCAGGACUCAACCUGAGGAAGAGGUCUGCAGCCACCACGGCCCUGGAGAGAGCCAGAAAUGACGGCAGCAAGGACAAAGCCAAGGAAGGGCUUUACUCCUCGAUCCCUGAAGCUGAGGCGCCUAAGGCUGAUCGGGAUGCAGGGAAGAAGAAGAGAGCUGACGAGACCUACAUCACCAUGCACCCCUCCGUCCUCCAUGAGAAUGGCGUCUACGUGGAGCUGGCCAGGGGGGUGAUCCCAGCAGAGUGGAUGGCAGAAGGCAGACAGGAUGGCAGGCACAGCGAGCAGCCCUACAGCCAACCCCAGGAGGGACUUCCUCGUGUCCCGGAGAGGGAGAAAUAGCCAUGCUGGGGCUGUAAACCCCUUAACCAGCAGCUACGUGCAAGACUUCUUUGCUCCUUUGGCUGCUGUCAGCCCUUCACUGUUAUCUCCAUUCUGAACUGCUGCUGGGACAUGGCUUGUCCAGCAUCUGCAAGGUGACCUGGGGAGGUGUCCCCUCUGGAUCCCUUCUCCCUGGCUCCCAGAAAGGGACACAGAGGACACAGUCCCCACUUUCCAGCACUGAUCAAGGUCCACGCUGCUCCAGGACUGGAAUUAAUGAGGAGAGCCUGGCUGGGGAGGGAAGAGGAGGAGGGGGGGGGGGGGGGUUGCGGCUGUGCAGUGGUAUCUUCUGCAGUUAAUAAAAGUCAGCGAGGCCCAG